ACGGCCGCAAGGUUAAAACUCAAAUGAAUUGACGGGGGCCCGCACAAGCGGUGGAGCAUGUGGUUUAAUUCGAUGCAACGCGAAGAACCUUACCUGGUCUUGACAUCCACGGAAGUUUUCAGAGAUGAGAAUGUGCCUUCGGGAACCGUGAGACAGGUGCUGCAUGGCUGUCGUCAGCUCGUGUUGUGAAAUGUUGGGUUAAGUCCCGCAACGAGCGCAACCCUUAUCCUUUGUUGCCAGCGGUCCGGCCGGGAACUCAAAGGAGACUGCCAGUGAUAAACUGGAGGAAGGUGGGGAUGACGUCAAGUCAUCAUGGCCCUUACGACCAGGGCUACACACGUGCUACAAUGGCGCAUACAAAGAGAAGCGACCUCGCGAGAGCAAGCGGACCUCAUAAAGUGCGUCGUAGUCCGGAUUGGAGUCUGCAACUCGACUCCAUGAAGUCGGAAUCGCUAGUAAUCGUGGAUCAGAAUGCCACGGUGAAUACGUUCCCGGGCCUUGUACACACCG
rnacentral:rRNA from 1 species